GACGAACGCUGGCGGCGUGCUUAACACAUGCAAGUCGAACGGAAAGGCCCUGCUUUUGUGGGGUGCUCGAGUGGCGAACGGGUGAGUAACACGUGAGUAACCUGCCCUUGACUUUGGGAUAACUUCAGGAAACUGGGGCUAAUACCGGAUAGGAGCUCCUGCUGCAUGGUGGGGGUUGGAAAGUUUCGGCGGUUGGGGAUGGACUCGCGGCUUAUCAGCUUGUUGGUGGGGUAGUGGCUUACCAAGGCUUUGACGGGUAGCCGGCCUGAGGGGGUGACCGGCCACAUUGGGACUGAGAUACGGCCCAGACUCCUACGGGAGGCAGCAGUGGGGAAUAUUGCACAAUGGGCGGAGGCCUGAUGCAGCAACGCCGCGUGCGGGAUGACGGCCUUCGGGUUGUAAACCGCUUUCGCCUGUGACGAAGCGUGAGUGACGGUAAUGGGUAAAGAAGCACCGGCUAACUACGU
rnacentral:rRNA from 1 species